rnacentral:rRNA from 1 species
CUGAGUAUUCUAAGGCGCUCGGGUGAGCCGUGGAGAAGGAACUAGGCAAAUUGACGCUGUAACUUCGGGAUAAAGCGUACCACCUUCGGGUGGUCUCAGUAAAUUGGUUCAACCAACUGUUUAACAAAAACACAGGGCCCUGCAAAAUCGAAAGAUGACGUAUAGAGCCUGAUACCUGCCCGGUGCUGGAAGGUUAAGGAAGGGUGUUCGGCGUAAGCCAAAGCUCCUGACUGAAGCCCCAGUAAACGGCGGCCGUAACAAUAACGGUCCUAAGGUAGCGAAAUUCCUUGUCGGGUAAGUUCCGACCUGCACGAAUGGUCUAAUGAGUUGAACGCUGUCUCCUCCACGAGCCCGGUGAAAUUGUAGUAUCGGUGAAGAUGCCGGUUACCCGCCACGGGACGGAAAGACCCCGUGAACCUUCACUACAACUUUGCAUUGAUUUUGAAAUACGGAUGUGUAGAAUAGUUGGGACGCUUUGAAGCAUUGCCGCCAGGUAGUGUGGAGCGGUCGUUGAAAUACCAACCUUCUUUGAUUUAGAGUCUAAUCCCUUGCGGGAAACAGUGCAUGGUGGGUAGUUUGACUGGGGUGGUCGCCUCCUAAAGAGUAACGGAGGCUUGCAAAGGUACCCUCAGUACGGUUGGUAAUCGUACGUAGAGCGCAUUAGUAUAAGGGUGCUUGACUGUGAGGCAAACAGGCCGAGCAGGACGAAAGUCGGCUAAAGUGAUCCGGCGGUUCUGUAUGUAAGGGCCGUCGCUCAAAGGAUAAAAGGUACUCCCGGGAUAACAGGCUGAUCUCCCCCAAGAGCUCAUAUCGACGGGGAGGUUUGGCACCUCGAUGUCGGUUCGUCACAUCCUGGGGCUGGAGAAGGUCCCAAGGGUUCGGCUGUUCGCCGAUUAAAGUGGCACGUGAACUGGGUUCAGAACGUCGCAAGACAGUUCGGUCCCUAUCUGUGGUGGGCGCAAGUAAAUUGAGAGAACAUGACCUUAGUACGAGAGGACCGGGUCGUACGUACCGCUGGUGUAUCAGUUGUGCCGCCAGGUGCAAUGCUGAGUAGCUAUGUACGGACAGGAUAAACGCUGAAAGCAUCUAAGCGUGAAACCUAUCUCAAGAUGAGUUUACUUUUAAAGGCCGUCAGAGACUAUGACGUUGAUAGGCUAUAGGUGUAAAACUGGUAACAGUAAAGCCGAGUAGUACUAAUUGCCUGUACGCUUUAAUG